CAUAUUUAAUUAAUACAAUGAGUGGAUACGUGACUUGGACGAGCGAAAAUGAUGAACAAUUAAUUGAUUUUGUUAAAAAUCAUGAAGCUUUAUACAAUAUUAAAUCCAAAGACUACAGACAAGCUCAGAUGAAGCAAAAUUUGUGGAACGAAAUUGGAAUAACACUUCAAAAAUCAGGUUCUGACUGCUGUAAACGAUGGGCCUACGUAAGGGAUUAUUAUAUUCGGCGUAAAGGUAAACCUGGUUCAGGUGGAGAGGCAGCAAAGAAAAGGUCUGUUCUCCUAUCAUUCUUAGAUAGCCUUCCUUCAUCACAAAGACAUAAUACAAUUUCUGACAAAAAACUGGAUGCUAAGAAAGACAACAUUAUGAGAGAUAAGAAAAAGAUAAAAUUAACACACUCUGAAGAACGAUUACAGAUAUUGAAACAAAUAACUAAACGAAACUCAACUCCUGCUCAAAAUGAAUUGGACGAAACUGACCUUUUCUUUAACUCGAUAGCAAAAAUUGUAAAGAAGCUUCCUCGAUAUAAACAAGUGCAAUUAAGGAUGCAAAUUUCGUCAUUGGUCGGUAAUGCUGAAUUAGAAAGUAUUUUAAACGAUUCAAGACAGACAGAUUCAUCAACAAGCCCAAGUUCAACAAUGAGCUUCAUACACUUAGAAACGGUGCCAUCUCCAGCAACAAGUGGAACGUCAAAUUACCAAGGACAAAUAGUGGAAAUGGACGGGUCGUAUGAUGAGAGAAAAGAAGUAAAAAUAGAAGAGAAUCCUAACGGAAACGAAAGAGAGGCAGGCAGAAAAGAUGGAAGAACAAUAAAAAAAGGGAGCGCGUCCAAUGUGGAUUCGAAACGCUAGAACUCCACGAUUGGAAAAAUUCUGCGGAGGCCUUUGAUAAAUAACUGUUUACCGAUAGAUAAUAAUUAGAAUUUUUAUUUGUUUUAGAUAUCUGUGUUAAAAGCUUGGUAAGGCUUAGGGAAUUUAGCGAUUUUUAUUUACUUCAUUUGUCUUCCUCCUUUAACACAUCCUAUAUAACGAAAACAGCACAUUGGUAAAGGUUUCAUAGCAAUCAUACUACUAAGUACUACUAAAACUACUAGCCGAUACUGAUAAAAACAAUAAUUGUUAUAUAUUCUGGAAAACGCUUAUGUUAAUGUUAUGAAGUUAGGGCUCACUUCCUGUUCUAAGUAUUAAUUAUAAAAUGUACAAAGAACCUAACGUCGUAGUUCGUAUGUCCAAAUUUUUGUUUACACAUUUAGAUUAUAUUCGUGACACUCGCUCUGUCGUAAAUUCCACCUUGUAACGGUUACAACGAUAUACAUUGCGCAAAUAUAGGUUUUUUAUUGUUCUAAGUAGGACACAAGAUAGAGAUGGGGUUUAGUUUGUACAGCUUGCUUCAGGACUCUCUGCGUUAAUUAUGCCAAUGAUUACCGAACUGAAAAGGAGAGUGCCUAGGAAUACAUAACGAAAAUAAGAGUAAAGUCUAAAGGUA